GACGAAAUGUAAGAGCUCUGUGGAUCGCGAUAGGGCUGCUAUCCGAGCUUCGCUCGCGAAUAAAUUAUGGUCCCUCUACUCUACGGUUGUCGUCGAGGAUACAAAGAGCCGAGAACGAUGCCGUUUGCCGUAGUCUGCGUCGGACAUGAAUAUUUAAGACAAAAGAAGAACAUGUUCAUCGUACUCUCCAACUAAGUGGACCCAAGGAGUUGUCAUUAAUCUUUCUAGGAUUAAUGGUAGUGGAAGUGCAAGGAGCUAUUCCUCUGGUCAUCACAAUCAAGCGACGAGACUCUCCAGCUUCGCGUCUCGGCGGGUAACAGUCUUCUUUUCACUGGCGAAAAACACUGGCGGCUUCUGUACUCGAUGGUAACGACAUAACAAGCCCGUAAACACAGCAGGGCCAUAAACAGAAGUCAGAUUUAAGGUUCAGCGAUGAACAAAGAAGCUGGAGUAGGUAAAAAAAUCUGACGUUCUGUGGAGACUCGAGGAAACAUCCCCUGUGACAUGGUCGUGUACAGUAGUAAAAGUGCUAUAUACUGGGUGG